rnacentral:rRNA from 1 species
UAGGGAAUCUUCGGCAAUGGACGAAAGUCUGACCGAGCAACGCCGCGUGAGUGAAGAAGGUUUUCGGAUCGUAAAACUCUGUUGUUAGAGAAGAACAAGGACGUUAGUAACUGAACGUCCCCUGACGGUAUCUAACCAGAAAGCCACGGCUAACUACGUGCCAGCAGCCGAGGUAAUACGUAGGUGGCCAGCGUUGUCCGGAUUUAUUGGGAGUAAAGCGAGCGCAGGCGGUUUCUUAAGUCUGAUGUGAAAGCCCCCGGCUCAACGGAGGAGGUUCAGUGGAAACUGGGAGACUUGAGUGCAGAAGAGGAGAGAGGAAUUCCAUGUGUAGCGGUGAAAUGCGUAGAUAUAUGGAGGAACACCAGUGGCGAAGGCGGCUCUCUGGUCUGUAACUGACGCUGAGGCUCGAAAGCGUGGGGAGCAAACAGG